rnacentral:rRNA from 1 species
UACGUAGGGACCAAGCGUUGUUCGGAUUUACUGGGCGUAAAGGGCGCGUAGGCGGCGCGGUAAGUCACUUGUGAAAUCUCUGGGCUUAACCCAGAACGGCCAAGUGAAACUGUUGUGCUAGAGUGCAGAAGGGGCAAUCGGAAUUCUCGGUGUAGCGGUGAAAUGCGUAGAUAUCGAGAGGAACACCAGAGGUGAAGACGGGUUGCUGGGCUGACACUGACGCUGAGGCGCGAAAGCCAGGGGAGCAAACGGG